rnacentral:rRNA from 1 species
AUUGAACGCUGGCGGCAUGCUUUACACAUGCAAGUCGAACGGCAGCGCGGGCUUCGGCCUGGCGGCGAGUGGCGAACGGGUGAGUAAUGCAUCGGAACGUGCCCAGUAGUGGGGGAUAGCCCGGCGAAAGCCGGAUUAAUACCGCAUACGACCUGAGGGUGAAAGCGGGGGACCGAAAGGCCUCGCGCUAUUGGAGCGGCCGAUGUCGGAUUAGCUAGUUGGUGGGGUAAAGGCUUACCAAGGCGACGAUCCGUAGCUGGUCUGAGAGGACGACCAGCCACACUGGGGCUGAGACACGGCCCCGACUCCUACGAGAGGCAGCAGUGGGGAAUUUUGGACGAUGGGGGCAAGACUGAUCCAGCCAUGCCGCGUGCGGGAAGAAGGCCUUCGGGUUGUAAACCGCUUUUGUUCGGGAAGAAAACCUCUGGGCUAAUACCCCAGGGGGAUGACGGUACCGGAAGAAUAAGCACCGGCUAACUACGUG